rnacentral:tRNA from 1 species
GUUUUAAUAGUUUAAUCUAAAACAAUGAUUUUGUAAAUCAUAAAUAGGAAAUACCUUUAAAACU